rnacentral:lncRNA from 1 species
GUUGGCAAGGCGGUGACUGGAAAUACAACAGAGGGACACGGGUGACACGCGCGAGGUGGUGAAAGUGUAGCAGGAAGAAAAGAGCUGCACUGGACGAGAAGCCAGAGGAUGAAAGAAGGGGCGGACACGGCGGCUUAGCGACACAACAGCUCCAUGGGAAACAAUGUGACAAGGAGGUCAAGGAUGAAGGCCACGAUGGAAGCACUGGAGUCGCGGUGAGGGAUAGGCCAGGCAGCAAGGCGGCGGUACAAGGCAAAGCGGCCGGUCGGGGACGACUGCUCUGAUGAGACCGGUCGAUGGUGAAGCACAGUG